AGGAUAAGCUUGGGAAACUGGGUCUAAUACCGGAUAGGAGCCAUCUUUAGUGUGGUGGUUGGAAAGUUUUUCGGUGUAGGAUGAGCUCGCGGCCUAUCAGCUUGUUGGUGGGGUAAUGGCCUACCAAGGCGGCGACGGGUAGCCGGCCUGAGAGGGUGUACGGCCACAUUGGGACUGAGAUACGGCCCAG
rnacentral:rRNA from 1 species